rnacentral:rRNA from 1 species
UACAGAGGUCUCAAGCGUUGUUCGGAUUCAUUGGGCGUAAAGGGUGCGUAGGUGGCGGGGUAAGUCAGGUGUGAAAUCUCGGGGCUCAACCCCGAAACUGCACUUGAUACUGCCUUGCUCGAGUACUGGAGAGGAGAUUGGAAUUUACGGUGUAGCAGUGAAAUGCGUGGAUAUCGUAAGGGAGACCAGUGGCGAAGGCGAAUCUCUGGACAGUUACUGACACUGAGGCACGAAGGCCAGGGGAGCAAACGGG